GGGAGCUGCUCUGUCGGAACUCUUUCUGCCCCCGCAAAAGGGCAGCGAGUUCACUCGCCCUGCGUGCUCCUCGCCCUUCCCUCCCCUCCAGGAUGUGAGCGUGGCUGAGGGAAUGAGGUUAAACUCGCUGGGCCGGUCGAUGCCUGCAGGGCCCGGAACCUCAUUCCGUAGCGUUGAGCAGGCCAGGCCCGGGAGCCACAGCCUCUUUCCAGUUGGCUGGCCUCGUGCCGCGCAAGACGGUUGGCAAUGAGUGGGUAAACUACAACUGAACUGAGUUGGCACAGGAGAGGCAGAGAAACAGGAUUUGUUUUGAAAAAAACUUUUCCAAACUAUUCAGAAUAAAAGACUAACACUAUUUAGAUCUACUUUCUUCUCCAGUAGGUGUCCUAAUUUGUGGCUUGUCAGCUAAGAAAUAGCUGUAUCUUCUCUGGAUUUUAUCACUUUAAAAACCAGUGUCAGAAGCCAGUUGUAUUGACACACCUCAUCAAGAGACUUGAUGGCAAAGACAAACAAGAACGUAUGCUGUGACAUUUCCAAAUCAGACAUUGUCUGCUUCUGUUCAAGGGCCCAAGGGAAUUCUAUAGAAGGACUGGGAAUUUUCACUUUCUGCAUACAAAACCCAACUCCUGCAUAACCAUUAAAUGCUA